rnacentral:tRNA from 1 species
GGAGGGUUUAGAUAGCUCGUAGAGAAUCAGGUUCUUUAAUAAGGUCGGUGGGAGGCCCAAGACCUUCCA